UUAUGGGGUAUUGUGUGUAGAUUGAUGAGAGGGAAAUAACAAAAUAUAUAUAUUUUAGAAUAAAGCUGUAACGUAACGCACUGUCAGCCUACAAACAUGAUUUACAAUGGAUAGCAAAAACACAAUAAUCACAAGAAUGGCUUCAGAUCAAACUCUACGUUUAGACCGAAGGGAGCAAGGGGCAUUGACCCUUUCUCCCUUCAGUCUCAACGUAGAGUUUUACUGACAGGUGUGGCAUAUCAAGAAGCUGAUAAAACAGCAUGAUCAUUACACAGGUGCACCUUGUGCUGGGGGCAAUAAAAGGCCACUCUAAAAUGUGCAGUUUUGUCACACAACACAAUGCCACAGAUGUCUAAAGUUUUGAGGGGGCGUGCAAUUGGCAUGCUUUCUUUACUGCAGGAAUGUCCAACGAGCUUGCAACUCGGCUAUACUCAUCUAAAGGUGAUAGUUCUCCUGUGUAUUAUGAGUACAGCGACUGCAGUGAAAAGGCAUAAAGUUACAGUGCUUUGCUUUUUCGGGUUGGAGGAGGUCCUUCAAAUCCAUGUCCAGAUAAGUGGAAGUGUGACGGAAUGUAACAGCCUUCAAUAUAGCCGCCUGUCCCUUUUAAUAGCCGGGCAUCAGCAAACAUUACAGCAAAUAAACGCCUCAAAUAAACGGCAGGUAUAAUUUAAUUGUUCACGAGGUUACCAUGGACACAUCUUUGAGAUUCCCACGGUCGUGUGCAAUAAAAGUAUUCCUAUUUGUUAUUGCGUCAUCGUUGGUAGCCAGGGCGCCACCAAAAAGAAAACACAACAUUAAAUUCAAGCUAGCAGUGAACAAAUUCAGAGAGCAGAAUUUGGUCGAGGCAACAGCCAGGUAUUUUGGAUCCAAACGAGUGAGAGAAUGGCGAAGUCAAAGAAAUCGAACUUCAACGUUUGUCUGAGGGGGAUCAGAAGAGGGCGAGACUGCAAGGUGGGGGGGGGGGAGGAGAAAGGUAAGUUGAAUGCACACACUGGAGCAAUCAGAAAACACAAAACAAAAACAACAUUAAGAUACUGAAAACAGUUACUGAAAACAUUUUCUCUUUCGGCAUCUUUACAGGUCGACUCAAGGGCUUAAUGGGCAGGUUUGGCUUUGACCUUAUCAAGCUGAAGACAAUACACUCAUUUAUCACUCAAAAAAAGGUGUCAUGAGUGACUACACCACAAACAUCUUUCCAGGGUGUUGAUGCAACUUCUUCCCAAUCCAGUUCCACCUCAAAAUGCACAAGAAAAAGGAUUUCCGACACCCAUCAUCUCAGAUUGCUCUGAAAUGGUUUUUGUCAUUUGUAACAGAUACGAUUAGCAUUCCUGAAACAUUUUGUUGAAAUAUAAUUUGAUCUCUGAGAAAUUAAGGUAAUGGAUCGCACCCAAAUUGGUCAUUUUAACUUAUAGGAUUCAGCAUCUACUUUGGACCAAACUUCUUCCUACCAAUGACUAAGACAUGAGCACCCCCCACACCCAUGCCAAUUCCACCCCAGUCAAUCAAUCACACUUAUUUAUGAAGCCCUUUUUACAUCAGCAGAUUAGCCAAAAACCCAAAACAGAAAGCACUUCAGAUGUAGAAGCACAGUGGCUAGGGAAAACUCCCUAGAAAAGGCAGGAACCUAGGAUAUAAUCCCACCCACUUUGCCAAAGCACAGCCCCAACACCACUAAAGGGAAAUCAACAGACCACCAACUUAGGCUGAGUAUAGCCCACGAAGAUCUCCUCCACCGCACAAGCCUGAGGGGGAGCAAAACCAGACAGGAAGAUCAAGUUAGUGGCUCAACCCACUCAAGUCGACCAUAGCGGGAAAAACCCUGGCAUGACGUGAGGCAUCCCUCCUAGGGACGGCAUGGAAGAGUAUUAGUGAUCCCCCGUAAUUGGGCUCCGAGUGGUGCAGUGGUCUAAGGCACUGCAUCUCAGUGCAACUACAGUCCCUGGUUCGAAACCAGGCUGUAUCACAUCAGGCCGUGAUUGGGAGUCCCAUAGGGGGGCACACAAUUGGCCCAGGGUCGUACGGGUUUGGCCCGUACGGACCUAGGGACCUAUUGAAGAGACCUACUGAAGAGGUGAGUCUUCAGUAAAGACAAAGGUGAGACUCAGUCUGCGUCUCUCACAUGGAUAGGCAGACCAUUCCAUAAAAAUUGGGCUCAAUAGGAGAAAGCCAUAACUCCAGCUACUUAGAAAUUCUUGGGACAAUAAGGAGCCCUGCGUCUUAGUGUACUUGUAGGUAUGUACAGCAGACCAAAUCAGAGAGGUAGAAGCAAGUCCAUGUAACGCUUUGUAGGUUAGCAGUAAAACCUUGAAAUCAGACCUAGCCGAUUCAGGAAGCUAGUUAAGGGUAGCCAGUAGAGAGGCUGGCACUGGAGCAAUAUGAUCCAAUUUUUGGGCUCUAGUCAAGAUUCUAGCAGCCAUAUUUACUGACUGAACUUUAUUUAGUGUUUUAUCCAGGUAGCUGGAGAAUAGAGCAUUUUAAUAGUCUAAUCUAGAAGUGACAAAAGCAUUGAAGUUUCUGGUUUUUGCAAUGUUAAGAAGAUGGAUAAAAGCUGCCCUUGAAAUAUUCUUGAUAUGUUCGUCAAAAGAGAGAUAAGGGUCCAGAGUAACGCUCAGGUCCUUCACAGUCUAAUUUGAGAUGACUGUACAACCAUUAAGAUUAAUUGUCAGAUCAAACAGCAGAUCUCUUUGUUUCUUGGGACCUAGAACUAGCAUCUCUGUUUGGUCCGAGUUUAAAAGUCAAACAUUUGCCGCCAUCCACUUCCUUAUGUCUGAAACACAGCCUUCCAGGCAGGGCAAUUUUGGGGCUUCACCAUGUUUUAUCGAAAUGUACAGCUGUGUGUAGUCCGCAUACUGUAGCAGUAAAAGUUGACAUUGUGUUUCCGAAUGACAUCACCAAGAGGUAGAAUAUAUAGUGAAAACAAUAGUGGUCCUAAAUGGAACCUUGUGGAACACCAAAACUCACUAUUGAUUUGUCAGAGGACAAGCCACCACAGGGACAAACUGAUAUCUUUCCGACAGAUACGAUCUAAUCCAGGCAAGAACUUGUCUGUGGAGACCAAUUAGGGUUUUCAAUCUCUCCAAAAGAAUGUGGGAAUCGAUGGUGUCAAAAGCGGCACUAAGGUCUCGGAGCACGAGGCCAGAUGCAGAGCCUCGGUCUGAUGCCGUUGAAAAGUAAUUUACUACCUUCACAAGUGCAGUCUCAGUGCUAUGAGGAGGUCUAAAAAUAGACGGGAGCGUUUCAUAUACAUUAUUUGUCUUCGGGACGGCAGUGAGUUAGUGCGCAACAGCUUUUUCCAAAAAUUUUGAGAGGAAAGGGAGUUUCUAUAUAGGCUGAUAGUUUCUGAGUCAAGGUUUAGCUUUUUCAGGAGAGGCUUUAUUACUGCCACUUUUAGAUUCAAAGAAGAUCAUCCUCACUUGGGGAAUACUGCUUUCCAGUUAGCUUUGCGACAGUAUCAAAAAUACAUUUUGGAUAGUUUUUUAUUCUCCUCAUUCAGGUUGAAAAAGUAGGCUGAUCGAGCAGCAGUUGAGGGCUCCUCGAUAUUGCACAGUACUGUCUUUCCAAUAACCAGUAUACAGUAUCAGUUCUCUAUGUUUGAAAAGUACUAUGAAGCUGUGGCUUGGAGUAUUGCUUCUCCAUCCCAUAAAACUCCAUCGCUUACGCAUCAAUUAGCUAACAUAAUUUAUUUGUUUAUUGGGAAGUUUAAUUAACAUGUUAGAAACUCAUCAUACAACUUUGUAAGGUAGGUCAUUUGGUUUCCAUUUCCAACAAAUGUUUCUUCUUCCACAGACUUUCUGGUUUUGGAACUGGUCUUGGAACUCCUGUGUUCAACAGAAACGACUUCUGGUAAACUGUUUGCCACUAGUGGCAAUAAAUAUUGUUGCCACAGGUUUGCCACAGAUUGAAAUAGAAGAAUCUCAAGACAAAUUUUUUCCAGAAAAAAAAACUCUGGUGAACUGUUUGCUGCUACUACAUAUGAUUGUUGCCGCAGAUGCACCACUAGUGGCAAACAUUUGCAAACCUCUGGCAACAUUUUUUGGCACACUAUUUAGUUUGCAGCAAAUUUGCCACAACCUUAAUUAAGGGACGUUUGCAGCAACACAUUCAUUUUUUUGUAAGGGAAACACACCAAGAAAAGACAUUAACAGCUCUUGUCUUUGGUAAAUGUUUCGUGUCUUUAUCCAUUAUUAAAAGAGAUGCGAAUACAAAAGUGAUUGUAAAAUGGUUAUUGAUGUAGGGGCUGUUAUUUUUUGUACCAUAAGUCUUGGACAUAUGGCAAUGCAUUCUGUUACAUCAUUAGAAGUGCAGCUGCAAUUCCACUGAUCAAGGCUGUAAUAAGGCUUUUCAUUCACACAAUCUGACAAGCUUUCAAACCAACAUUGAUUGAGUAUAGCAUAUUUAAUUAAUGAACUGAGCAUGUGAAAGCGUCCAAGGACUUUGAAUGAAGAAAGGAAAAAUUGCCCUUUUGUCCAUUUUGACCAUUUUCCUUUGAAUGUUUCCUUUUUUAAAUCGCAAUAAAAGGUUUGAUGUAUAAGUACAGAAUUCUAAAGCCUGUCUCACAAAGGCAAUGUUUCAACAUUUUAUUUUAUUUCAGUGAUUUGCAUUUAGCAUUUUAGUAUCUCCAAGGUUGACCUCUUGGUAUUUUAAUUACUAGUAUUCCUGAACUGAAGUUUCUUAACAACUUUUACAGUGGCUUAUUGUGGGCCAUUCUAUCAAAGCUGAGGAUGAUUGCUACUGCGUAGUCAUGGGGAUACUAGACCUACAGUUUCUGUUUUUUUUAACACGUCACAGCCAAGCAUGCCGCAGUCACCCGGGUCAAAAUUUGCGAGUGAGGCAUCCUGGUCUGUGAUGUGUGACAACGACAUAAAGGACUUGGACCUGACUGAAUCGAUGAACUGAUGGUUGUUUAUUGUACCGCCACGUCUAGGUGUAACAAAAACAACUAAUGAGACAAAGCUCUUGGAGAGAGACCAAACCUUCUACUGUAAUGACCUCAUCAGACGCAAGCUACCUUUUGAUGCCUCGUCGGGAAGAGAGAGCCUCUCCAAGAGCGUGUUAUCAUGACCAAACCUUCUACUAUAAUGACCUCAUCAGACGCAAGCUACCUUUUGAUACCUCGUCGGGAAGAGAGAGCCUCUCCGAGAGCGUGUUAGCAUGACCAAACCUUCUACUAUAAUGACCUCAUCAGACGCAAGCUACCUUUUGAUGCCUCGUCGGGAAGAGAGAGCCUCUCCAAGAUGUUUGAAGAUCCUGCCUUUGUAAUAAUGAUUUAUAAUUCUCCUGGUCUGAAGCAAAAAUUGGCGAGAGGAGAAAAAAAAAAUGGUUAUAUAUAUUUUUUUAAUAAAAAAAGUAAACUGCGCCUUGAGGGUCCAUCUUAAGGAGAGUCUUUCAUAAGAUCACCCAAGAGCAGAGCAUGUGAUUAUGUCACAGUUCCUCUGUAACCAUAAAAGAAUAAAUGUCAAAUCAAAGGCCUUGUAAUUAGCAGUUUGUGAGUGUGACAGUGUUUCUCUCUGGCAUUGGGCCAUAUAAACCCGUGUUAGACGAGA